rnacentral:rRNA from 1 species
GGGAGACUAUGAAGACAAGUCGCUAGAUUUGUUGGAGUCGACCUUGAAAUACCACCCUUGACUAUUUGAAGUUCUAACUCAGGAGAAAUUCGAGGACAGUGUAUGGUGGGUAGUUUGACUGGGGCGGUCUCCUCCCAAAGAGUAACGGAGGAGUACGAAGGUGCACUCGGCAUGGUCGGAAAUCAUGCCAAGAGUAUAAAGGCAAAAGUGCGCUUGACUGCGAGAGUGACGGCUCGAGCAGGUACGAAAGUAGGUCUUAGUGAUCCGGUGGUCCUGUAUGGAAAGGCCAUCGCUCAACGGAUAAAAGGUACUCCGGGGAUAAC